rnacentral:rRNA from 1 species
CCCUAUGGGGUGCAGACCGAUACCGAUUCAUUCCGGCACGCGACCCCGGUCGACUAUGAGGCGGUUUCGCUCCUUUCACGCUUUGCGGAUCACGAUUUUAUCGCCCGGCUCACCGAUCAGCCGAUGUCCGACGCUCUUAUGGCGUUGAUCGGAGAGGCGGAACGCAACAAGAUCGCCUACCGGGACUGGCUGCUGAGCGGCCGGGGUUAUGUUGAGGAAUCGCGACGUGACAGUAUAGCCAUUGUUGCCGAUUUUCUUCUGAGCAAGGAGACUGCCACUACGGUUGUUGUGUUUGCGCUGAUUGAACACGUCGCCAAUAAAAAACUGUACCUCGAUGCAUCGUUCAGGACUGUGGAGGAGCGGAUCAACCUCGAUGCGAUCAUCAAGCAGAUCACUGAAAUGGGCGGGGGGGC